UUAAGCGACUAAGCGUACACGGUGGAUGCCCUGGCAGUCAGAGGCGAUGAAGGACGUGCUAAUCUGCGAAAAGCGUCGGUAAGGUGAUAUGAACCGUUAUAACCGGCGAUGUCCGAAUGGGGAAACCCAGUGCAAUUCGUUGCACUAUCGUUAACUGAAUACAUAGGUUAACGAGGCGAACCGGGGGAACUGAAACAUCUAAGUACCCCGAGGAAAAGAAAUCAACCGAGAUUCCCCCAGUAGCGGCGAGCGAACGGGGAGCAGCCCAGAGUCUGAAUCAGCUUGUGUGUUAGUGGAACGGUCUGGAAAGUCCGACGGUACAGGGUGAUAGUCCCGUACACCAAAAUGCACAGGUUGUGAACUCGAAGAGUAGGGCGGGACACGUGGUAUCCUGUCUGAAUAUGGGGGGACCAUCCUCCAAGGCUAAAUACUCCUGACUGACCGAUAGUGAACCAGUACCGUGAGGGAAAGGCGAAAAGAACCCCGGCGAGGGGAGUGAAAAAGAACCUGAAACCGUGUACGUACAAGCAGUGGGAGCACCUUCGGGUGUGACUGCGUACCUUUUGUAUAAUGGGUCAGCGACUUAUAUUCUGUAGCAAGGUUAACCGUAUAGGGGAGCCGCAGGGAAACCGAGUCUUAACUGGGCGUUAAGUUGCAGGGUAUAGACCCGAAACCCGGUGAUCUAGCCAUGGGCAGGUUGAAGGUUGGGUAACACUAACUGGAGGACCGAACCGACUAAUGUUGAAAAAUUAGCGGAUGACUUGUGGCUGGGGGUGAAAGGCCAAUCAAACCGGGAGAUAGCUGGUUCUCCCCGAAAGCUAUUUAGGUAGCGCCUCGUGAAUUCAUCUUCGGGGGUAGAGCACUGUUUCGGCUAGGGGGUCAUCCCGACUUACCAACCCGAUGCAAACUACGAAUACCGAAGAAUGUUAUCACGGGAGACACACGGCGGGUGCUAACGUCCGUCGUGAAGAGGGAAACAACCCAGACCGCCAGCUAAGGUCCCAAAGUCAUGGUUAAGUGGGAAACGAUGUGGGAAGGCACAGACAGCCAGGAUGUUGGCUUAGAAGCAGCCAUCAUUUAAAGAAAGCGUAAUAGCUCACUGGUCGAGUCGGCCUGCGCGGAAGAUGUAACGGGGCUAAACCAUGCACCGAAGCUGCGGCAGCGACACUAUGUGUUGUUGGGUAGGGGAGCGUUCUGUAAGCCUGCGAAGGUGUGCUGUGAGGCAUGCUGGAGGUAUCAGAAGUGCGAAUGCUGACAUAAGUAACGAUAAAGCGGGUGAAAAGCCCGCUCGCCGGAAGACCAAGGGUUCCUGUCCAACGUUAAUCGGGGCAGGGUGAGUCGACCCCUAAGGCGAGGCCGAAAGGCGUAGUCGAUGGGAAACAGGUUAAUAUUCCUGUACUUGGUGUUACUGCGAAGGGGGGACGGAGAAGGCUAUGUUAGCCGGGCGACGGUUGUCCCGGUUUAAGCAUGUAGGCUGGUUAUCCAGGCAAAUCCGGAUAAUCAAGGCUGAGGUGUGAUGACGAGGCACUACGGUGCUGAAGUAACAAAUGCCCUGCUUCCAGGAAAAGCCUCUAAGCAUCAGGUAACAUCAAAUCGUACCCCAAACCGACACAGGUGGUCAGGUAGAGAAUACCAAGGCGCUUGAGAGAACUCGGGUGAAGGAACUAGGCAAAAUGGUGCCGUAACUUCGGGAGAAGGCACGCUGGUGUGUAGGUGAAGUCCCUGCGGAUGGAGCUGAGACCAGUCGAAGAUACCAGCUGGCUGCAACUGUUUAUUAAAAACACAGCACUGUGCAAACACGAAAGUGGACGUAUACGGUGUGACGCCUGCCCGGUGCCGGAAGGUUAAUUGAUGGGGUUAUCCGUAAGGAGAAGCUCUUGAUCGAAGCCCCGGUAAACGGCGGCCGUAACUAUAACGGUCCUAAGGUAGCGAAAUUCCUUGUCGGGUAAGUUCCGACCUGCACGAAUGGCGUAAUGAUGGCCAGGCUGUCUCCACCCGAGACUCAGUGAAAUUGAACUCGCUGUGAAGAUGCAGUGUACCCGCGGCAAGACGGAAAGACCCCGUGAACCUUUACUAUAGCUUGACACUGAACAUUGAGCCUUGAUGUGUAGGAUAGGUGGGAGGCUUUGAAGCGUGGACGCCAGUCUGCGUGGAGCCAACCUUGAAAUACCACCCUUUAAUGUUUGAUGUUCUAACGUUGGCCCCUGACCGGGGUUGCGGACAGUGUCUGGUGGGUAGUUUGACUGGGGCGGUCUCCUCCCAAAGCGUAACGGAGGAGCACGAAGGUUAGCUAAUCCUGGUCGGACAUCAGGAGGUUAGUGCAAUGGCAUAAGCUAGCUUGACUGCGAGCGUGACGGCGCGAGCAGGUGCGAAAGCAGGUCAUAGUGAUCCGGUGGUUCUGAAUGGAAGGGCCAUCGCUCAACGGAUAAAAGGUACUCCGGGGAUAACAGGCUGAUACCGCCCAAGAGUUCAUAUCGACGGCGGUGUUUGGCACCUCGAUGUCGGCUCAUCACAUCCUGGGGCUGAAGUAGGUCCCAAGGGUAUGGCUGUUCGCCAUUUAAAGUGGUACGCGAGCUGGGUUUAGAACGUCGUGAGACAGUUCGGUCCCUAUCUGCCGUGGGCGCUGGAGAAUUGAGGGGGGCUGCUCCUAGUACGAGAGGACCGGAGUGGACGCAUCACUGGUGUUCGGGUUGUCAUGCCAAUGGCACUGCCCGGUAGCUAAAUGCGGAAGAGAUAAGUGCUGAAAGCAUCUAAGCACGAAACUUGCCCCGAGAUGAGUUCUCCCUGAGACUUUAAGUCUCCUGAAGGAACGUUAAAGACGAUGACGUUGAUAGGCCGGGUGUGUAAGCGCAGCGAUGCGUUGAGCUAACCGGUACUAAUGAACCGUGAGGCUUAACCUU
rnacentral:rRNA from 1 species